ACGCUCGACACCUACGGGAGGCAGCAGGUGGGGAAUAUUGCACAAUGGGGGAAACCCUGAUGCAGCGACGCCGCGUGAAGGAAGAAGUAUCUCGGUAUGUAAACUUCUAUCAGCAGGGAAGAAAAUGACGGUAUCUGACUAAGAAGCCCCGGCUAACUACGUGCCAGCAGCCACGGUAAUCUGAGCGGGCUGGCAAGGC
rnacentral:rRNA from 1 species